rnacentral:rRNA from 1 species
UGCAAGUCGAACGAACGGAGGAAGAGCUUGCUCUUCCAAAGUUAGUGGCGGACGGGUGAGUAACACGUGGGCAACCUGCCUGUAAGUUGGGGAUAACUCCGGGAAACCGGGGCUAAUACCGAAUGAUAGAAUGUGGCGCAUGCCACGCUUUUGAAAGAUGGUUUCGGCUAUCGCUUACAGAUGGGCCCGCGGUGCAUUAGCUAGUUGGUAGGGUAAUGGCCUACCAAGGCAACGAUGCAUAGCCGACCUGAGAGGGUGA